rnacentral:rRNA from 1 species
GCUCAGGAUGAACGCUAGCUACAGGCUUAACACAUGCAAGUCGAGGGGCAGCAUUUUAGUUUGCUUGCAAACUGAAGAUGGCGACCGGCGCACGGGUGAGUAACACGUAUCCAACCUGCCGAUAACUCCGGAAUAGCCUUUCGAAAGAAAGAUUAAUACCGGAUAGUAUACGAAUAUCGCAUGGUAUUUUUAUUAAAGAAUUUCGGUUAUCGAUGGGGAUGCGUUCCAUUAGUUUGUUGGCGGGGUAACGGCCCACCAAGACUACGAUGGAUAGGGGUUCUGAGAGGAAGGUCCCCCACAUUGGAACUGAGACACGGUCCAAACUCCUACGGGAGGCAGCAGUGAGGAAUAUUGGUCAAUGGGCGAGAGCCUGAACCAGCCAAGUAGCGUGAAGGAUGAAGGCUCUAUGGGUCGUAAACUUCUUUUAUAUGGGAAUAAAGUUUUCCACGUGUGGAAUUUUGUAUGUACCAUAUGAAUAAGGAUCGGCUAACUCCGUGCCAGCAGCCGCGGUAAUACGGAGGAUCCGAGCGUUAUCCGGAUUUAUUGGGUUUAAAGGGAGCGUAGGUGGAUUGUUAAGUCAGUUGUGAAAGUUUGCGGCUCAACCGUAAAAUUGCAGUUGAAACUGGCAGUCUUGAGUACAGUAGAGGUGGGCGGAAUUCGUGGCGUAGCGGUGAAAUGCUUAGAUAUCACGAAGAACUCCGAUUGCGAAGGCAGCUCACUAGACUGUCACUGACACUGAUGCUCGAAAGUGUGGGUAUCAAACAGGAUUAGAUACCCUGGUAGUCCACACAGUAAACGAUGAAUACUCGCUGUUUGCGAUAUACAGUAAGCGGCCAAGCGAAAGCAUUAAGUAUUCCACCUGGGGAGUACGCCGGCAACGGUGAAACUCAAAGGAAUUGACGGGGGCCCGCACAAGCGGAGGAACAUGUGGUUUAAUUCGAUGAUACGCGAGGAACCUUACCCGGGCUUAAAUUGCAACAGAAUAUAUUGGAAACAGUAUAGCCGUAAGGCUGUUGUGAAGGUGCUGCAUGGUUGUCGUCAGCUCGUGCCGUGAGGUGUCGGCUUAAGUGCCAUAACGAGCGCAACCCUUAUCUUUAGUUACUAACAGGUGAUGCUGAGGACUCUAGAGAGACUGCCGUCGUAAGAUGUGAGGAAGGUGGGGAUGACGUCAAAUCAGCACGGCCCUUACGUCCGGGGCUACACACGUGUUACAAUGGGGGGUACAGAAGGCGGCUACCUGGUGACAGGAUGCUAAUCCCAAAAACCUCUCUCAGUUCGGAUCGAAGUCUGCAACCCGACUUCGUGAAGCUGGAUUCGCUAGUAAUCGCGCAUCAGCCAUGGCGCGGUGAAUACGUUCCCGGGCCUUGUACACACCGCCCGUCAAGCCAUGAAAGCCGGGGGUACCUGAAGUACGUAACCGCAAGGAGCGUCCUAGGGUAAAACUGGUA